AUGAACGCUGGCGGCGUGCCUAAUACAUGCAAGUCGAGCGAACGGACGAGAAGCUUGCUUUUCUGAUGUUAGCGGCGGACGGGUGAGUAACACGUGGAUAACCUACCUAUAAGACUGGGAUAACCUCGGGAAACCGGAGCUAAUACCGGAUAAUAUUUUGAACCGCAUGGUUCAAAAGUGAAAGACGGUCUUGCUGUCACUUAUAGAUGGAUCCGCGCUGCAUUAGCUAGUUGGUAAGGUAACGGCUUACCAAGGCAACGAUGCAUAGCCGACCUGAGAGGGUGAUCGGCCACACUGGAACUGAGACACGGUCCAGACUCCUACGGGAGGCAGCAGUAGGGAAUCUUCCGCAAUGGGCGAAAGCCUGACGGAGCAACGCCGCGUGAGUGAUGAAGGUCUUCGGAUCGUAAAACUCUGUUAUUAGGGAAGAACAUAUGUGUAAGUAACUGUGCACAUCUUGACGGUACCUAAUCAGAAAGCCACGGCUAACUACGUG
rnacentral:rRNA from 1 species